rnacentral:rRNA from 1 species
UACGUAGGGCGCAAGCGUUAUCCGGAAUUACUGGGCGUAAAGCGUGCGUAGACGGUCAAGUAAGUCGGGUGUGAAAGCCCCGGGCUCAACCUGGGAAUUGCAUUCGAGACUGCGUGGCUAGGGUGCGGAAGAGGGAAGCGGAAUUUCCGGUGUAGCGGUGAAAUGCGUAGAUAUCGGAAGGAACACCAGUGGCGAAAGCGGCUUCCUGGUCCAGCACCGACGUUCAGGCACGAAAGCGUGGGGAGCAAACAGG